rnacentral:tRNA from 2 species
GACUAUAGCUCAAUUGGAUAGAGCGUUGGCCUCCGAAGCCGAAGGUUGCUGGUUCGAUCCCAGUUAGUCG